AGUGAACGCUGGCGGUAGGCCUAACACAUGCAAGUCGAACGGCAGCACAGUAAGAGCUUGCUCUUACGGGUGGCGAGUGGCGGACGGGUGAGGAAUACCUCGGAAUCUACUUUUUCGUGGGGGAUAACGUAGGGAAACUUACGCUAAUACCGCAUACGACCUACGGGUGAAAGCAGGGGAUCUUCGGACCUUGCGCGAUUGAAUGAGCCGAUGUCGGAUUAGCUAGUUGGCGGGGUAAAGGCCCACCAAGGCGACGAUCCGUAGCUGGUCUGAGAGGAUGAUCAGCCACACUGGAACUGAGACACGGUCCAGACUCCUACGGGAGGCAGCAGUGGGGAAUAUUGGACAAGGGGCGCAAGCCUGAUCCAGCCAUACCGCGUGGGUGAAGAAGGCCUUCUGGUUGCAAAGCCCUUUUGUUGGGAAAGAAAAGCAGCAGGUUAAUACCCCGCUGUUCUGACGGUACCCAAAGAAUAAGCACCGGCUAACUUCGUG
rnacentral:rRNA from 1 species